GAUGAACGCUGGCGGCGUGCCUAACACAUGCAAGUCGAGCGAACAGACGAGGAGCUUGCUCCUCUGACGUUAGCGGAGGACGGGUGUGUAACACGUGGAUAACCUACUUAUAAGACUGGGAUCAUUUCGGGAAACCGGAGAUUAUACCGGAUAAUAUAUUGAACCGCAUGGUUCAAUAGAGAAAGACGGCUUUGCUGUCACUUAUAGCUGGAUACGAGCUGCAUGAGCUAGUUGGUAGGGUAACGGCUUACCAAGGCUACGAUGCGUAGCCGACCGGAUAGGGUGGUCGGCCACCUGAGAACUGAGACACGGUCCAUACGCCUACGGGAGGCAGCAGUAGGGAAUCGUCCGCAAAGGGCGGAAGCCUGACGCAGCGACGCCGCGUGAGUGAUGGAGGCCUUCGGAUCGUAAUGCUCUGUUAUGAGUUAAGAACAGAUGUGGAAUGAGCUGAAGACGUCUUGACGGUACCUAAUCAAAAAGCCACGGCUAACUACGUG
rnacentral:rRNA from 1 species